CGUAGCUGCGCGCCUGGUGGAGGCUAGAGAGAGAGCACAAGCAGGCAGAGGGAGAGGGAGAAGCAGGCUUCCCGCAGAGCUGGGAGCCCGACGUGGGGCUCGAUCCCAGGACCCCAGGACCAUGACCUGAGCCGAAAGCAGCCGCUGAACCGACUGAGCCACCCAGGCGCCCCGGCAAAUUCUUUUCUGAAAGCAAGUUUACUAAGGGUGGAGAGAACAGACCAUAAAAACUAUUCAUUGAUGGGGUGAGGAGGGUGUUGGAGGAUCUCAUUUGUCUUCCGUCCGGUGUGGCUGGACCAGUACUCAGUCUGAAGGCGACUCCGUGGGGUUCUGAACUCACCUGUUCACAGUGAUGUCGUCUUGCUGACUCCCUGCAAGAGCAGGAGCCCUGGCCGAAUUUUCUGGGGUGGCCCCAGUGAGGCUACUGGUGGCUUACCUUGCUUUCAGGGAGACAAGGUGGCCAAAAUCAAAAGUUUUUGGUGGUGUUUUUUAUGAUAUAAAAUAGAGAAAUGAUUUUAAGUAGAACUACUCUCGAUUAUAUUAUUAACGUUUUAAUUACGAAGUUCGUAUUAGUAAAAUUUUGAUGAAAUUCAUGAUACAUUCACCAGUUAGGAAUGCUUUUGGCUGUAUAACUAACAGAUUACCUGACCAACAGUAGCUUAAACCAGAGGAAUGUCAUUUAUUCUUUACCAUAAAGCACUGGUCACACUUUCUUACCCCAUGCACAAAAAUAAACUCAAAAUGGAUGAAAGACCUAAAUGUGAGACAGGAAUCCAUCAAAAUCCUAGAGGAGAACACAGGCAGCAACCUCUGUGACCUUGGCCACAGCAACUUCUUGUUAGACAUGUCUCUUGAGGCAAGGGAAACAAAAACAAAAAUGAACUGUUGGGACUUCAUCAGGAUAAAAAGCUUCUGCACAGUGAAGGAAACAGUCGACAAAACUAAAAGGCAACCUGUGGAAUGGGAGAAAAUAUUUGCAAAUGUCUUAUCAGAUAAAGGGCUAGUAUCCAAAAUCUAUGAAGAACUUAUCAAAUUCAGCACCCCAAAACCGAAAAAUCUAGUCAAGAAAUGGGCAGAAAACAUGAACAGACACUUCUCCAAAGAAGACAUCCACAUGGCCAACAGACACAUGAAAAGGUGCUCAACAUCGCUCGGCAUCAGGGAAAUCCAAAUCAAAACCUCAAUGAGAUACCACCUCACACCAGUCAGAAUGGCUAAAAUUAACAAGUCAGGAAACUACAGAUGUUGGCAAGGAUGCGGAGAAAGGGGAACCCUCCUACACUAUUGGUGGGAAUGCAAGCUGGUGCAGCCACUCUGGAGAACAGUAUGGAGGUCCCUCAAGAAGUUGAAAACAGAGCUACCGUAUGAUCCAGCAAUUGCACUACUGGGUAUUUACUCCAAAUAUACAAAUGUGAAAAGAAGGGGCACCUGCACCCCAAUGUUUAUAGCAGCAAUGUCCACAAUAGCUGAACUGUGGAAAGAGCUGAGAUGUCCACUGACAGAUGAAUGGAUAAAGAUGUGGUGUAUUUAUACAAUGGAAUAUUAUGCAGCCAUCAAAAAACGAAAUCGUGCCAUUUGCAAUGAUGUGGCUGGAACUAAAGCAUAUUAGGUUAAGUGAAAUAAGUCAGUCAGAGAAAGACAAAUACCAUACGAUUCCACUCAUACAUGGAAUUUAAGAAACUAAACAGAUGAACAUAGGGGAAGGGAAGGAAAAAUAAGAGGAAAACAGGAAGACAAACCAUAAGAAACUUUUUAAAAAAAUUUUUUUAUUGUUAUGUUAAUCCCCAUACAUUACAUCAUUAGUUUUAGAUGUAGUGUUCCAUGAUUCAUUGUUUGUGCAUAACACCGAGUGCUCCAUGCAGAAUGUGCCCUCCUCAAUACCCAUCACCAAGCUAACCAAGUUUGUUUUUCCGAGUCCAUCGUCUCUUAUGGUUCAUCUCCCCCUCCGAUUUCCCCCCCUUUAUUCUUCCCCUCCUACUACAUUCUUCUUCUUCUUUUUUUUUCUUUCUUAACAUAUAUUGCAUUAUUUGAAGAAACUCUUAAUCAUAGGAAAAAACUGAGGGUUGCUGGAGGGGAGGUGGGUGGGGGGAUGGGGUAACUGAGUGAUGGGCAUUAAGGAGGGCACUUGAUGGAAUGAGCACUGGGUGUUAUAUGCAACUGACGAAUCACUGAAUUCUACCUCUGAAAUGAAUACUACAGUAUGUGUCAAUUGAACUCAAAUAAAAAAUUUAAAAAUACAUUCUGGUUCAAUGGGUUAUCCAAAUAAAAAAAAAGGAAAUAAAAUUAUAUCACUACUUAUAUCAUACACAAAGUAAAUUCCAGUUGGAUAAGCCUUCGGUGGGCUCCAUGCUGGGUGUGGAGUCUACUUAAAAAUUUUUUUGGGGGGUCUUGAUUUAGCUCUAUUUUUAGAAUGCGAUCCCCCGGGAGAAGGAAGAAGUGUCGGGGAAACAGAGAAGGGCAAGGAUGCCCGUUGGGAUGUGGCAAUCCCAACGUUGCGCGCACCACACCACACAAGCAGGCCUUGCGACAUAGCGCCAGUUCGCAACUUUCUCCACCGCGGGCUCCCCUCGGCGCGUCCCCGUGGUGCACUUCGCCUACUCAGCAGAGGGUGGUCUGCUGGCCAGUUUCUGUUCUCACCAGAGUCCAGGGGCAGGAACCUCAGCUGUUUGAACCUGGGCUCUUCCCCUCAUUUGGAAUAUGGGCUGGGGGCAUGUCGUCAGGGUGCGGUGGAAACCCAGGGAUGGAGGCCACAUCACAGCGUGGUCAGGCCCGGAGGAAGUGCAUUCAGCCGUCUGAAUCACCACUUUGGGGUGGGCUGGGACAGACAGUUCGAAACUUCUGAUCUUCGUACAUUUGUGGAGUACUUCACAGUCUUUCCGAGAGCGUUUUCAUCCAUAUCUGAUCUGAUCCUCAUAAGCACGGUCCCUGGAGCAGUCCAGUUUCCAGUCCACGAUGGGAGCCCCCCUGGGUCACUGUAAUAGGACCACUCUUCAUCACACAGACCUAUACUGAACACCUCCCGUGUGCCCGAGGUUUUCGCAGGCUCUGGUGUCACCAGGAUGAACAGCUGUCCCUGUUUUGAGCUGCUUAGAGUCUGGUAAUUAUGAUUAAGUUUCUAUUUAUAUUUCAUCGAGAACAGUUUGGAUCACUGGAGAGUGGAAGAGAUGCUGAGAGACCAUCUAGGCAGCUCAUCAGUGGACGAGGGAACUGAGGUCCAGAAGCUCUGUGGCCUGGUGUAGCUGCCUCGGCGGCAGGGUCCAGGCUCCUCGCUCCCAGGCCGGGCCCCUUCCUCCCCCACUCCCACUGGCUAAGCUUGGGAGAUCAGACAAAUCUGGUUCCCAGUAGUCGAGAUACGAAACCUAGAUCCUCCAUAGGUUCCCGAGAACUGCUUUUUGUCAUAGUAAUUUCAAGUGCCUCGCUCAUUUCGAUAUUUAUUAUAGGUCCAAUGGCGUCACUCCAUUAACUUCUCCCUAGAACCGGAUGCUUUUAACAUCACGAGACACUUUCACGCUUUUAGUGGGCUUUGCUUUGUGUGCUGUGUGAAGACCGUGUUACACUGUUUUCAAGCCCAGGAGUGAGCUGCUUAGCCUGAAGAUUGUAGGUUUUCAUGGGAACAUGACAGUUGCUUACAGAUACUGGAGAGCAAGCCUCUCUUGCUGGAAUGGGGUACAGGCUUGUUCUGUCCCCAGCAGCAAAAUGAGAGCCCACGGGGGAGAGUUACGGGAAGAGGUGUUUGGCUCAGUGUAAGAAAGUCUGGCCAACAGCACUGUCUAAAAAGGGAUCAAGCAGCCUGAAGCUGCAGGUUUGAGCUGAGGCUCUCCAGGAGGGCUGUCAGAGAGGGGUUCCUAGAUUCAGGGGGGAAAUGGCCUGAGGGACAUCCGAGGUUUAGAUGGAGCAAGGUGAGCUGGUUCAUUGCUGGGAACACCUCCCAGUUGCUGCUCCUCAUUUAGAGGCUAUUCCAGCAGCAGCAGAUGCCCAGGUGAGGGCAGGUGGAGCAGCUUGGAGCUUGAAAGCCCUUUGCUACCCCUGCCUUAGCCAUUCAGCCACGUCUAGCCUGCAAGUCUGAAAAAUAUCAUUUAGCCAGGCAGCUAAAAACGGGCUCUGCUGUGAAGGAAGACGGGAUGCAUGAUGGUUAAUUUUAUGUGUUGACCUGACUGCACCAAGGGAUGCCCAGAUCGCUGGUAAGACAUUAUUUCUGGGCACGGCCAUGAUGUUUCUAGAAGAGAUUACAUUUGAUGUGAGGGGUAGAGUAAAGCAGAUGACUCUCCCCACUGUGGUGGGGCAUCAUCCUAUCCACUGAGAUCCUGAAUGGAACAAGAAGGUGGAGGAGGGGUAAAUGUGCUCUGUCUGCUUGAGCCAACACAUCCAUCUCCUCCUGUCUUUGGACAUUGAUGCUCCUGGUUCUUAGGCUUUCAGACUCAGACUGAAUUACACUGGCUUUCCUGGUGCUCCAGCUUGCAGGUGGCAUAUCGUGGGACUUCUUGGCCCCCAGAACCAUAUGAGCCAAUUACUAUAAUAUCUCUUCUCAUACAUACAUGCUUUCAACCUUAAAAAUAAAAAUAACCAGGGGCGCCUGGGUGGCUCACUCAAUUAAGCGACAGACUCUCAGUUUUGGCUUAGGUCAUGAUUUCAGGGUCGUGAGACUGAGCCCUGUGAAGGGCUCUGCACUCAGCGUGGAGUCUGCUUGAGCUUCUCUCUCUCCCUCUGCCCCCUCCCCCUGCUUAUGUGCUUGCUCUCUCUUUCUUGCAAAUAAAUAAAUAAAAUCUUAAAAAACAAAACAAAACCCAGGUAGUUUACCAGCAAAAUGAGUUUAUUUGGGAAUAGCAGAGCAAUUGCAAUUUGGGACAUGCACACUGUGGUAAAUCACAAGCAAACCUGGAGAACAAGGGAGGGGAGCAUUCUUUUAUGGAGAAGAGAGGGGAGUUGGAAGGGCUGGUUUUGUCAAAAGCCCGAUCCAUGGGAGGAAACUGGGAGUUUGAAGUGUAGUGGCUUCUCAUUGGCUAGGCUGUUGCUGGACAAGGAGAGAAAGCUCCCUUAGUCCUCUGGGGAUGUAAAGUCCACCUCUUCUUGCCCAGGAAUGUGGAAUAAGCUGCCCAGGUGGUGCGUGCUCAAGAGCCCCCCCUUCUGGGCCUCCUGACUCCAUUUAAAAUGUUUCCCUUCCUUAAUUUUCACCCACCCUCCGUCACUCCCUCCUUCUCUCUCUCUCCUUCCUUCAAGAGCCCUAACUAAUACAGGAAGUAAUGAAACCUCCCAAAUAUGUGAUUGAUUUCACUGCAUGGGAAGGAAUGGACAAGGAGGAGGAACCGGGAAACUGUCCAUUUUCUAAUGUCGGCGCCAGCACCUGGUGUAGGGUUCAGAGAGAGGCAGAUUCUGUAGAAAGCUGAAGGCUCCGUCUGCACAGAGCUCUUGGCCACCAGAUACUGCAUGUACCACGGGCCAGGUCCUCUGCUCUGCACUGUGCAUAACCCUCUGUUAUAGGUGGUGGGCAUUGUCCCUGAUUUAUAGCCGCAUGAAGUCACUGCCGCCGUGCCUGGUGAACCCGCUUGGUGUGAAGUGAUUUGUUGGAAGUCCUCAGACUCUGCCUCUCUACCGCCACCGCUCAUGCUCUUGGUGCCCUGGGCCUCGGUGGGGAGCUCUGGGCCGACCAUGGCUUCUCCAACUAUCUCAAGUCUCUUGCAUUUGCUUUUCCCUACUCUUCCUAUCAUGCUCUUCUCCUUGGUCUAGUUAACUACCCUGUUGUAACUUUAACAGGUUUCAUAGCUUCAUUUCUCAGCUUUCUGUCUCUCAUCUAACUGUCAUUGAUUUUUUUUCCUUUUUUUAUUGAGUUAAAAUCACAUAAUAUAAAACCAUUUUAUUUUUAAAGUUUAAUUUUACUUAAAUUCAACUAAUUAGCAUAUACUAUGUUAUUAGUUUCAGAGGUAGAGGUCAGUGAUUCAUCAGUUGCAUAGAACACCCAGUGCUCAUUACAUCAUGUGCCCUCCUUCAUGCCCAUCCCCCAGUUACCCCAUCACCCACCCACCUCCCCUGCAGCAACCCUGUUUGUUUCCUAGAGUUAAGAGUCUCUUAGUGUUUGUCUCCCUCUCUGAUUUCGCCUUGUAAAACCAACCAUGUUAAAGUGCACAGUUGAGUAACAUUUACACAUUCACAGUGUUGAGCAACCAUCACCUCUGUCAUCACUCCAAAAGGAAGCCCCAUCCCCAUGAAGCAGGCCCUCCCCCUUCACCCCUUCCCCCAGGCACUGGCUGUCACAAAUCUGCCUUCUGUCUCUAUGGAUUUACCAAUCCUAGAGAUUUUAUGUCAGUGGACUCAUGUGAUACAUGACUUUUUGUGUCUGCUUCCUUUCACUUAGCAUAAUCGUAUGAGUUUGCUUGGGCUGCUCUAACAAACUAUCAUGGGGGGCUUAAACCACAGAAAUUUAUUUUCUCACAGUUCUGGAGGCUGGAAGUCCAAGAUGAGGUUUGGUGUUUCCUGGGGCCUCCCUCCUUGGCUUGUAGAUGACCACCGGCUGGCCGUGUCCCCGUAUGGUCUUUCCUCUGUGUGCACACAUGCCUGGAGUCUCUGUGUGCCCAAAUUUCUGCUUCUCGCAGAGAAAUUCAUCAAGAGAGAGAGACAGCGAGAGAAGGAACACAAGCAGGGGGAGUAGGAGAAGGAGAAGCAGGCUUCCUGCGGAACAGGGAGCCCGACGUGGGGCUCGAUCCCAGGACCCUGGGAUCAUGACCUGAGCUGAAGGCAGGCGCUUAACCAACUGAGCCACCCAGGCGCCCAAAUGUAUUGCUCAGUCUUCUUAUCGCCCUCCAGUGGCUUCCUAGCUUUCUCAGAAGAGGAACCAGCCUUCCAGAUCGAUCUAUAAGGUGCUCCACCUACCUCCUCACGCUGAAGCCCUCCCUGUUCCACCCACCCUGGCGCUAUCCCACAUCAAGAUCCCACUCCAGAGCCUUUGUUCCUAUUUCCUCUCCUUGGACGGCUCUUACUCCAGAUGUCUAGAAGGGAGAUCGAAGACGGCUAACAUAUGGAACGUAAAAGAGCUCAGUGUGUAACAACGUAACGUGGAGAUGACGAUAUUUUGGAUUUAUGACGUUAACUAAAAUAUAUUACUGAUGCUAGUUUCACCUGUUUCUUUCUACUACUACAAAAUCUUAAGCUAAGAUUGUAGCUCCUGUGGUAUGGCAUAGAGAUGUCAGGCUAUUGACAACCUGGGUGAAGCAACCAUUCUGUAAAAAUGUAUUACUGACAAUAGAAAUUUGAGAUUUAUCUAAUAAUUUGGAUAAUGUUGGAGACGUAGGAGUAUUUCUUCUUUCUUUCUUUCCCUUUACUAAUAAAUUAGGACAUUCUAAGACCUUUGGCAAGUACACAAAAGCCCAAGGUCUCCUUCACCUCUUUUUUCUUUUUUUUAAUGCUGAUGCAGUUUCCUUUCACAAAACUGUUACUUCUUUAUUUUUUUUUAAAAAUUUAAAUUCAAUUAAUUAAUAUACAGUGUAUUAUUAGUUUCAGAGGUAGAGUUUAGUGAUUCAUCAGUUGUAUAUAACACCCAGUACUCAUUCCAUCGUGUGCCCUCCUUAAUGCCCAUCACCCAGUUACCCCACCCCCAACCCACCUAACUUCCAGGAACCCUGUUUGUUUCCUAGAGUUAAGAGUCUCUUAUGGUUUGUCUCCCUCUCUAUUUUCCUCCCUUCCCCUAUCCUCUGUUUUGUUUCUUAAAUUCCACAUACGAGUGAAAUAUUAUAAUUGUCUUUCGCUGACUGACUUAUAUCACUUACCAUAAUACCCUCUAGUUUUAUCUUUGUCGUUGCAAAUGGCGAGAUUUCAUUUUUUUUUGAUGUCUGAGUAAUAUUCCAUUGUAUAUAUAUACAUAUCUUCUUUAUCCAUUCAUCUCUCGAUGGACAUCUGGGCUCUUUCCAUAUUUUGGCUCUUGUGGACAUGGCGGCUAUAAACUUUGGGCUAUUUGUUUUUCUGCGCCAUGAGCCUUUCCUACAUCGUAAGGUGAAGGCUCUCCAGAUGUGCCUGCUGGAGUACAAAGAUGUGUGAAUCUCUGCGGGGCUGGCUUUGUUUUCAUCUGUUAAAUAGCACCUUCCCUUGUAGGAUCAUGUGAAAGCUUUUAGGUAUGAAUCCUCACAGCAGUUUCUGAAGAUGAUUCUGCAUCUUAUUUCCAUACCAUAGCAUUUCAAGACCGUCAUCAAAAACCACUUGGAUUCAAGAUUUUGUUGUUAGCAUUGUUAUUGGGAAGGCAAUUGCAUGUCCCACUUGGAAGGCGAUUGAAAUGGGAGAGGCUUGAAAGACUACCAGGCUCGUUGAAGAUCAUGUUUUUUAUUCCUUGGCUCAUUAGCUAUGUGAUCACAAGCAAGGAAUUGAAUAUUUCUGAGCCUCAGUUUCCUUAACUAUAAGGAACAAAAGGAGGAGUGAGUGAGUUUGUGUGUGUGCGUGCAUGCACACUGGGGGGACACUAUGAAAUUCCAGAGUAAUUCGUAAUUCUGGCAAGGACCACAUCUUACUUGUCCUUAUCCUCCCUGGUACAGUGGCUCUCGGUGAAUACUUGUUGAAUGUGGGAAGAAAUCAGAGAUGUUAACUUCAUUCCAUGUGUCCUCUUGGACUCAGAGAAAAACUGAAGAACCAUGAGAUGGAUAUGAAAUUACCAGCUGAUCUGCCCCCAUUAUGUGCAAACGUUUCUUACUGUUCCCAAGGGACCUCCCCACAGCCUGCAUUUACCUACCACUUCUCUCUUCGUUCUGUUUUUAUUCUCAGACAUGGACAUUUCCCCCUCUGGUCUUAAGUUACAAGCUCUUGGGCGUGGGAGCUUUUUUCUUUGUAAUACUCAGCAUGAGGCUGGGCACACAACACCAUGAUGACAAGCUAUUUGCCCACCCACUUCUCUUCCCUGGCGGGACCCAAAGAUCAUUGAGAUCCCAGCACAGUUUGCUCCUUGCAGCAGCUGACACACAGUCGCUGCUGUGAGUAUGUAAUAAACGCUAGACACCAGAAGAUGGGCAGUGAGCUUCUCAAAUCGUCCCCCAUCCUUGUGCUCUGUUCCCCUUAGGGAAAGACAGGGUCAGCGAGGACCUCUUGGAGCCCUCAGCUGAACUCUGCAUGAUUGUCUUUCCCUUAUUUUGUUUUAGGCGUGCACAUUGGGGACAAACUACAAACCCAUUGAUAUUUUCCCGAAGAUCUAUGCAAAGCCCAGAAAUAGAAUCCUUUCCCCCUAAAUUAAAACACAGCUUGAGCUUGAUUCUGUUUUUCCACAGGUACAGGAUUCAUGCAAAUUCUGUUUGUGUAUGUGUGUCAUUUGCAAGAAGCUAAGAUGUUAGGAACAUAUGCAAAUCACCACAGAGUUCUUGACUACCUCUCUGCCAGUUCCCUUCUCCCUCAAUGCCUGGACUGACACAAUCUGGGUCUUUGUUUUAUGCAGGAUUUGAGGAAACUGAACUCUCACUGAUUUUAAAUAUUUUGUUUUCUUAAAGUUUUUUGUUUGGAAAUAUAAGAAGUUACAAAAUAGUUCGUAGAGUCCCAUGGACCCUUCACUCAGCUUCCUCUGUUGGGGACAUCUUACGUGACUGCAAAUAUCAAAACCAGGAAAUUAACAUUGGUAUGAUCCCGUGAACUAGACUUUAGGGUAUCUGGUUUUUAAAAAGCACAAAUAUUUUGAAGUCACAAAAUAAUACUUUUAAAACACAAAUAAUUUAUGUCCUGGUCUUGGGUGAGGAGGUCGACCAGGAGUGUAAGAUACUCUGAGAGCAGUAGCUAGGCUUGAUGCUGGGUAAGAAACACCGACAGGCAGUUUUAAGAGACUGGUCCCAAGCUCAGGGGCGUGCCCUAAGGAAAGUGGAGAAACACAGCCUGGGCGGAGGGAGAUGGGAACUUGCUGUAGGGUUCAGUGGGACUUGGGCAGCCCACUUUUCAUCUCUUCACCCAGA